GAUGAACGCUGGCGGCGUGCCUAAUACAUGCAAGUCGAGCGAACGGACGAGAAGCUUGCUUCUCUGAUGUUAGCGGCGGACGGGUGAGUAACACGUGGAUAACCUACCUAUAAGACUGGGAUAACUUCGGGAAACCGGAGCUAAUACCGGAUAAUAUUUUGAACCGCAUGGUUCAAAAGUGAAAGACGGUCUUGCUGUCACUUAUAGAUGGAUCCGCGCUGCAUUAGCUAGUUGGUAAGGUAACGGCUUACCAAGGCAACGAUGCAUAGCCGACCUGAGAGGGUGAUAGGCGACACGGGAGCUGAAACACGGUCCUGAGUCCUGCGGGAGGCAGCAGUAUGGAAUCUUCCGCAAUGGGCGAAAGCCUGACGGAGCAACGCCGCGUGAGUGAUGAAGGUCUUCGGAUCGUAAAACUCUGUUAUUAGGGAAGAACAUAUGUGUAAGUAACUGUGCACAUCUUGACGGUACCUAAUCAGAAAGCCACGGCUAACUACGUG
rnacentral:rRNA from 1 species